UACAGAGGGGGCAAGCGUUGUUCGGAAUUACUGGGCGUAAAGGGCGCGUAGGCGGCCGACUAAGUCAGACGUGAAAUCCCCUGGCUCAACCAGGGAACUGCGUCUGAUACUGGACGGCUUGAGUUCGGGAGAGGGAAGUGGAAUUCCAGGUGUAGCGGUGAAAUGCGUAGAUAUCAGGAAGAACACCUAUGGCGAAAGCAGCUCUCUGGGACGGUACUGACGCUGAGACGCGAAAGCGUGGGGAGCGAACAGG
rnacentral:rRNA from 1 species